GUGCUCACUUCGGCAGCACAUAUACUAAAAUUGGCAUGACAUGGAGAAGAAGAGCAUGCUCCUUGUGAAAGGAUGAUACACAAAUUCAUAAAGCAUUCCAUAUUUAA
ensembl:snRNA U6 U6 spliceosomal RNA